rnacentral:rRNA from 1 species
GAGCAAUUAAAAGUGUAUCGGGGUUGGAGUAUUGACGUUUUAUUAUGAACUUAUCUUAUUAAUUUAAAUGGUGAAGUUUGUUAUGUUAAAGUAAGUUUAGUUCAAUUUGAGGGUUUUGAUCUUUGAAAUCUAAGGUAUAAAACAGGAUUAGAUACCCUGUUAUACUUAGAUGAGACUAUUAGGACCUUUGAGUAGUAAAUAGGUAUAGGCUUUAAACUCAAAGGAUUUGGCGGUAUUCGAGUCUGGUUAGAGGAAUUUGUACGGUAAACGAUAGUCCGCGAGUAUCUGGCCUUGUCUUGUAAUAGUCAGUUUGUAUACCGCCAUUAUUAGGUAAUUUUUAGAGAAAGUUGCUAUAAUCAAGAUUAGUUGAAUAUAUUAGGUCAAGGUGCAGCUCAUGAUAAGGACGUUAUGAAUUACAUUGGUAUAAGUAGUAUAUGGAUAAGUGGCGGUAGAGUUGUUUUGAAGGUGGAUUUAAUUGUAAUAUGUGUAGAUGGUGCAUGUCUGGUAGGAGCUCUUGAAUAUGUACACAUCGCCCGUCGUUCUUGCUUU